GAAGCUUAAAAAAGAGAAAAGGAACAGACGAGAGAAAAGUCAAUAUAGUUGGAGGUGAUAGAUCGCAGAACAGUUAGUGUUCCACUGUCAUGAGUGGUCAUCGUACAGAUUACAAAGGCAACAUUGGUAAAGAAAAUAUUCAUAGCCUUGUGCUCUCGAUAUAAAGCAAAAGUCUAAGGGCUACGUGACUUAAUCUUUGUCAAGAAUUGUCCCAUCUUCUCUCUCUUUCAUCUUUGUCCCCGGUGUAUAUAUUUCCUUAACUUACUAUACUUCCUUCUUUCAUUUGGUUUUUCCUGAAGGUUCUACUCUUCUUUCCAUGGUCUUGAGCUUUUAUAGUAGUUGGUGAAAAAGUAAUGAUGCAAAUUCAAGAAUUUUGGGAGUGGCAUUCUCUUGGCGAUCUUGAGUAACAAGCGUUUUAGUUUCUUCCCCCCGUUUCUGAUUGCCAUUUCUAUUCUCAACAUGCUCCUGGAUACCAACAAGCACCCAUCAUUGUAUAAGCUUUUAUCGGAAGAGGGUUUUAUGGAUAAAAUAAAAAUUCCGCCCUCUUUAAUUUUAUCAGAGAGCACAAGAAGAUGUUGGCGAAGAUUUGCAUAAUGAAAACAGAUGAAGGGAUGUCUUGGACAGUAAAGAUAGUAAAGGAGGGGUCUAAUUACUUCAUCUGUGAAGGAGACUGGCCACAGUUUGUCGCGUAUAACAAACUGGAGCUUGGUGAUCUCUUAGUCUUCUUACUUAUUGGUAAAAGUGUUCCAAGUUCUGCCCUACAACAAGGAUUUGUGGAAGCCUUCUUGGGCGUCAAGUUUUUGAGGAACUCAGCUCAGAAGAAGGAAGACAUCCAACCAUCAAGAUGCUAAGGAAGAAAGGAUUGACCCAGCCUGUGAUGGGGAAAGUCCAUGCUAUUUGCAAUCAGAAAACUUUAUCUGAUAUCAUCUGGGAAUUAGGUAGCCAUUUUAGUGUGGAUUUGAUGCAUAGGAAAGCAGAGGUGAAUGCUACAGUCACUGGUGUAAUGAGGGACAUGAUUGAUCAGGAAGAAAGCGCUGAUCCAUCCAGUGGCUCCAGAUAUGGAGAAAACCCACGCUACGCAGAGUCAGAUAACUUCAAUCCACUUUAAACAUUUUGUAUAUUUUAAUUUUUUCAGUUUAUCUAUUGAUGGCAAUGACAGACCUCAAUGAAAACAAAUGAAGCAUACUGACAAAUUGGGAUUAAGUCCUAAUACGUUUUUUAAAGUAAAAGAUUUCAUUAAUAAUUAAGUCCUAACACUUUGUAUUAAGUUUGCAUCUGUAAUAGCCUCUGGAUUGGUUUAGUUAGAGACUUGUAUGUAUAUCAUCAUGAUUCAUGACUGUGUAAGUAUGAGAUCCACUUUGAGUCCCUUCUCAUUACUUCCCUUUCAGUCAAUGUACACUCACCAUAACAAAGCUAGGACAUAUCUCUUUCUUUUAUUUCGCUCGUUCAUUUUCUCAACACCUAAAGGUUUCAUCAUGAGAGGAGGAGAUAAAUCUGAUUCCAAAGUUGAUAACAUGCUCGGCGUGGAGAAGACAGCUCCAGGACUAAAAGAUCAUGUCAAGAAUUCUGACAAACCUAAGAGGCCGGCAAUUGUCAAGAGAGGACGGAAGCAACCAAAGGAUCCUAAGCCCAUAAGUGCUUACCUUGGUUUCUAUGAGGAGUUUAGGAAGCAGUACAUGAAGGAGCAUCCUAACAACAAAUAAGUUUUCACUGUUGGUAUAGCUGCUGGAGAAAAGUGGAGACAGUUCUCAGAUGCUGAGAAAGCUCCUUGCAUAGACGAGGCAUGAAAAAGGAUGGUCGGGUGUGUAAAGAUCAUACAUGCUUAUAACAAGCGAAUGGCUGCUGAAUUUGCCUAGGAUCUGACAGGUCAUUGUCCGGGGUUGAUGAAGAAGUUCUUACUGGAUUUUGGAAAUAGGUGAGGAAGCUCGUGUAAUACUUGCAACUUUUUGUUUCUACUUUUGGGGGUUAAAGAUGAACUCAGAGCAGCUACUUUUCCAGCACAGUAGUUUUAUGUUCUUUUUAUUUGAAUGCUGCUUAAUGAUAACUCAGCAAGGCAUUUGUCCUUCUAACUAGUUAUAUUUGGAUUACCAUCUAAUCA